UACAGAGGUCUCAACCGUUGUUCGGAUUCAUUGGGCGUAAAGGGUGCGUAGGCGGUCGGGUAAGUCGGAUGUGAAAUCUCAGGGCUCAACCCUGAAACUGCAUUCGAUACUGCCUGGCUAGGGUACUGGAGAGGAGACUGGAAUUUACGGUGUAGCAGUGAAAUGCGUAGAUAUCGGGAGGAACACCAAUGGCGAAGGCAGCUCGCUGGGACGGUACUGACGCUGAGACGCGAAAGCGUGGGGAGCGAACAGG
rnacentral:rRNA from 1 species